rnacentral:rRNA from 1 species
UACGUAGGGUGCGAGCGUUGUCCGGAAUUACUGGGCGUAAAGCGAGUGUAGGCGGUUUGGUAAGUCGGAUGUGAAAGCCCCGGGCUCAACCCGGGAAGUGCACUCGAUACUGCCAAGCUAGAGUGUCGGAGAGGUUGGUGGAAUUCUCGGUGUAGAGGUGAAAUUCGUAGAUAUCGAGAGGAACACCGGUGGCGAAGGCGGCCAACUGGACGAACACUGACGCUGAGACUCGAAAGCGUGGGGAGCAAACAGG